AAUUACUUGUAAAUUGUCGAAAACCAAAGUAACUUUUGAAUUUACUGUUACCUGAUACAUUCUGACAUCGUGGAAAGACACAAGAGUGUGCUAUGUUUCUGACACUCUGUAUUCACAACACCUGCCCAGAGUAGAGUAGAUCAAACCUGCCGGGGUCAACUAAACAUGCCCACUGUCUCCUAGGUCAACUAAACAUGCCCACUGUCUCCUAGGUCAACCAAACAUGCCAAACACUGUCCCCUAGGUCAACCAAACAUGCCAAACACUGUCCCCUAGGUCAACCAAACAUGCCAAACACUGUCCCCUAGGUCAACCAAACAUGCUAAAAUACUGUCCCCUAGGUCAACCAAACAGGCCAAACACUGUCCCCUAGGUCAACCAAACAUGCCAAACACUGUCCCCUAGGUCAACCAAACAUGGCAAACACUGUCCCCUAGGUCAACUAAGCACAUUCACACACUUCACCUUCUAUACAGGCUUGCUGGAGUUCCUGCCAAGCCAGAAACAGGUGUUUUUCUUUUUUUUUAAUGUGGUUCUCUACAAGAUUACUGCUUGUCAUGAGGCCCUUGGCACUCCUAAUGCCUCCCCUAAUUCCUUAGUCACCUAGAGUCACCCAAAAUGGGUUGGGAGAGCAACUGUUUCUUCUCUUCAGGGUCCAGGACAUCCUCAUGUAGCUAAAUCUCUAAUGAGACAACUGCCAUCAAGCCUACCGUUAUAGACCGACAGAUAAAUAUGCACAUGAUAUAUGGAAAUAACGCUGAUUCAGAGUCCAUGCUUAGACAAACUCCUUUUGUCUGUUGCUAAGUCCUUGCAAGGCUUAGAUCCUGGAAUCCUGACUAGGGCCAGUGAGGAAGAAAUGACAAAUACAUUAGCACACAGACAAGCUGGGCUCAGGUGGUCUUCACUCUGUAAUAGAAAAGCCACAGCACUGCAGAAUCCCGGUGUGAUUAUGGCAUAUAGUUGAACAAGGGAGGCAGGGUCAUUGUAUACAGCUGAACCGGGAGGCCGGUUUAGCCUAUCUCUAUAGGAGAUCGGUCGUAACAGGGUGUGGGUGCAGAAAGCUACAGAGGACAUUUUCUGCAAACACUGUCAACAUUCCAAUCAGACCAGGGCUGAGGCAUCGGGGGUCCUUGAUAUGUCCAUGUCAACAACCCACAUUCACUAGGGACUUCUCUCACUCCCUAUAAUCCACAAGUUCGUAAAUGGAGGACCAAGCAGCUGCAGUUCUCCUUUAGGGGUACCAUGGUAGCACAUUCAGCAUUUCCCAUGGCUCUAGACCCUUAAGGUACCUUGAGCCUUCUUACCUAAGCCUAAAAUAGUGUGAAAAGCCCAUAUAGCAAAAAAUAAAAUAAAAAACAGGCAUGGUCCCUACAAAAUUUCAAGUUUCCCUGCCAGGGGCUGGAGAGAUGACUCAGCAGUUAGGAGGACUGGCUGCUCCCGAAGAACACUUGAGUUCAAUCCCAGCACCCACCUGGUGGUUCACAACCAUCUGUAACUCCAAUGCCAGGGGAUCUUGUGCCCUCUUCUGGCCACUGUAGGCACUGCAGAAAUAUGAUGCACAGCAAACAAAAUAAGAACACUCAAAAAUAAAAAUAAAUCUUGCUUACCUGCAAAAAACCAAUUGGCGUAAUCGUAUAAUAUCCCAGAAGAACUCAAAGAAACAAUAAAAGCAAGGUCCAAAAUACUCUGUUGGGAAAGGGCUGGUGGAGAUCUCUAAGGCCUUGGAAGGCAGGUACUGGUCUCUGCCUGGAGAUUAGGCUGGGGUCUGCUCACCUGUUGAGUGGCUAUGUUCAUGAGAUUCAAAUUAUGUAACAAGGGCUGAGGAAAUGGUCCAAUCUGUUCACUGCUUUUCAAGUAUGAGUUCUGAAGUUUGAUUCCCAGACUCUGUGUAAAAGAAAUUAGG
ensembl:lncRNA